rnacentral:rRNA from 1 species
GAUGAACGCUAGCGGCAGGCUUAAUACAUGCAAGUCGAGGGGCAGCAGGCCUGUAGCAAUACAGAUGCUGGCGACCGGCAAACGGGUGCGUAACACGUACGCAACCUUCCCGUUACUGGGGAAUAGCCCAGGGAAACUUGGAUUAAUACCCCAUAUGAUAUUGGUUGGGCAUCCGACUGAUAUCAAAGUUUGAACGGUAACGGAUUGGAGUGCGGUUGAUUAGGUAGUUGGCGGGGUAACGGCCCACCAAGCCUACGAUCAAUAGCCGAAGUGAGAGCAUGAUCGGCCACACGGGCACUGAGACACGGGCCCGACUCCUACGGGAGGCAGCAGUAAGGAAUAUUGGGCAAUGGACGCAAGUCUGACCCAGCCAUGCCGCGUGAAGGAUGAAGGUCCUCUGGAUUGUAAACUUCUUUUAUCUGGGGCGAAAAUCGGGUAUUCUUAUCCGCUUGACAGUACCAGAGGAAUAAGCACCGGCUAACUCCGUGCCAGCCGCCGCGGUAAAAC